UACGAAGGGUGCAAACGUUGCUCGGAAUUAUUGGGCGUAAAGCGCACGUAGGCGGCUUUGCAAGUCGGAUGUGAAAUCCCUCGGCUUAACCAAGGAAGUGCAUCCGAAACUGCAGAGCUUGAGUACUUAAGAGGAUCGCGGAAUUCCCGGUGUAGAGGUGAAAUUCGUAGAUAUCGGGAGGAACACCAGUGGCGAAGGCGACUCACUGGACACAUAUUGACGCUGAGGUGCGAAAGCGUGGGGAGCAAACAGG
rnacentral:rRNA from 1 species